GGUGGCUCAGUGAUAGAGUGCUUGCCUUAUAUGCAUGAGUCCUUGAGUUCAAUUCCUCAGCACCA
rfam:Dipodomys ordii contig_62927, whole genome shotgun sequence.